UGGCGCGCCCGGCAGGAGGGGACGGGGCAGAAGUUUCAGUAGGAGUAAUUAAAUCAUUUUUUAUUGUUUUAGUAGGUGAGACCGAAUUAAACAUAUAUGACAGCGAUAGAGAAUUGAUAGUAACGUGAGUGAAGGUUUUAAUCAGUGGGGCAGCAACGGUGAGAUCGUGUACCUUUUGCAUCAUGGCUCUACUACUUUUUAUUCACAUGAGGUAGCCCGAAAGUUUAAUGAUCUACUUCUUUGCUAUGGGUUGGCGUUGAAUUGCUAUCCAGAGAUGGGGAGGUAGCGGCGACAUACUUUUCGCAUUAGCUGGUAGCUGGUUGUUCUGGAAAUAUAUCUAAGUAUAGCCCUACUUUGGGACAGAUUCUACAGCUAUAGUUUUUCUUGGCUUGCCAAGAUGCUGUCCUCUUUUAGGAGAUGGCCCCUCCAGGCUAAGCUGGGGGGGUGCCUGAAAAGGAUGAUUGGUGAAGUCUUAGGUUUGGAAGUAGGUUUUAAGGAGCCAUCUUUUUGGAGUGGGUUUCACCUCACACUAACCUUCAUUACAAAUAAUAAUGGAUUUAUCUUUUAAUUGUACGGUACCUUCUUACGAAACUACUUCAGUAGGAGUGAUAAUGUAGAGAUGAGUAGUCGAGAUAGUUUGUAAUUAUUUUUUGUUUCAGGGUAAAAAAUAAGAAUAUAAGAAUGCGUAUUGGAAAACAAACCUUAAGGAACUCGGCAAAAUAGAGGACCGCCUGUUUAUCAAAAACAUGGCUUUCUGAAGAACAUGGGGGGUCGUGCCUUCCCAGUGGGCAUACGAGCCUAAACGGACGCGGUAAAUCGUGCUAAGGUAGCUAAAUUAUGGCCUAUUAAUUGUAGGUCCUGUGAAUGGUUUGACGAGUCCUCGACUGUCUCGAGGUUGUUUUGGUGAACUUGAAUUGAAUGUGCAAAUGCUUUCAUGGGAAAGAAAGACGAGAAGACCCCGUGAAGUUAGAAAUUCCUAUUACAGCGUUAAUCCGCUUUGAUGUUUGUAGAUCAGGCGUUUUAGAACUUUAAUUUUCCAAUACGGCUAGAGUUAGGGGUAUUGGAUGUUUAUAGUUUUUAAGUAGGGGAGUGUGGUUUUGAUGAGUUUUGGCUGGGGCAGCAAAGAGGCAAAACUAGACCUCUUUAGACACACAACGGGUGCGUUACGACCCACAAAAAUG
rnacentral:rRNA from 1 species